rfam:Desulfacinum hydrothermale DSM 13146 genome assembly, contig: EJ40DRAFT_scaffold00025.25
GAUUUCCGAGGCUUUCCUGCCUCGGCCUCAUUGAAGC